GGAUGAACGCUAGCGGCAGGCCUAACACAUGCAAGUCGAGGGGUAACAGAGUAGCUUGCUACUGCUGACGACCGGCGCACGGGUGCGUAACGCGUAUAGAAUCUACCUUUUGCUGCAGGAUAGCCCAGAGAAAUUUGGAUUAAUACUGCAUAGUAUGCAUUAGCUUCAUGGCUUAUGUAUUAAAGGUUACGGCAAAAGAUGACUAUGCGUCCUAUUAGCUAGAUGGUAAGGUAACGGCUUACCAUGGCAACGAUAGGUAGGGGCCCUGAGAGGGGGAUCCCCCACACUGGUACUGAGACACGGACCAGACUCCUACGGGAGGCAGCAGUGAGGAAUAUUGGACAAUGGAGGCAACUCUGAUCCAGCCAUGCCGCGUGCAGGAUGACUGCCCUAUGGGUUGUAAACUGCUUUUAUACAGGAAGAAACAUCUCUACGUGUAGAGACUUGACGGUACUGUAAGAAUAAGGAUCGGCUAACUCCGUGCCAGCAGCCGCGGUAAUACGGAGGAUCCAAGCGUUAUCCGGAAUCAUUGGGUUUAAAGGGUCCGUAGGUGGAUAAUUAAGUCAGAGGUGAAAGUUUGCAGCUCAACUGUAAAAUUGCCUUUGAUACUGGUUAUCUUGAAUCAUUAUGAAGUGGUUAGAAUAUGUAGUGUAGCGGUGAAAUGCAUAGAUAUUACAUAGAAUACCAAUUGCGAAGGCAGAUCACUAAUAAUGUAUUGACACUGAUGGACGAAAGCGUGGGGAGCGAACAGGAUUAGAUACCCUGGUAGUCCACGCCGUAAACGAUGGAUACUAGCUGUUCGGAACUUGUUUCUGAGUGGCUAAGCGAAAGU
rnacentral:rRNA from 1 species